rfam:Ixodes scapularis strain Wikel colony gcontig_1108378658332, whole genome shotgun sequence.
GCCGGGAUGGUGUAAUCGGUUAAGGCGUCGCCCAGGACAGGCGAAGGUUGCGGGUUCAAUCUCCGCUCCUGGCC